UACUUAUGGCACCCCACUCCUGGUACCAUAGUCAUAAGUUAGGAGAUGUUAGAGCUGUGAGUACCAUGACUUAAGUGUGGUGGCUUAAACAUG
ensembl:miRNA MIR4286 microRNA 4286